rnacentral:rRNA from 1 species
ACUCAAAUGAAUAGACGGGGGCCCGCACAAGCGGCGGAGCAUGUGGAUUAAUUCGAUGCAACGCGAAGAACCUUACCUGGGUUUGACAUGCACCAGACGCCGGUAGAGAUAUCGGUUCCCUUGUGGUUGGUGUGCAGGUGGUGCAUGGCUGUCGUCAGCUCGUGUCGUGAGAUGUUGGGUUAAGUCCCGCAACGAGCGCAACCCUCGUUCCAUGUUGCCAGCACGCGGUAGUGAUACUGUGGUGGGGACUCAUGGGAGACUGCCGGGGUCAACUCGGAGGAAGGUGGGGAUGACGUCAAGUCAUCAUGCCCCUUAUGUCCAGGGCUUCACACAUGCUACAAUGGCUCAUACAGAGGGCUGCGAGACCGUGAGGUGGAGCGAAUCCCUUAAAGUGGGUCUCAGUUCGGAUCGGGGUCUGCAACUCGACCCCGUGAAGUUGGAGUCGCUAGUAAUCGCAGAUCAGCAAUGCUGCGGUGAAUACGUUCCCGGGCCUUGUACACACCGCCCGU